AGCAGCCGCGGUAAUUCCAGCUCCAAUAGCGUAUAUUAAAGUUGUUGCAGUUAAAAAGCUCGUAGUUGAAUUUUGGGUCUGGCCGGGCGGUCCGCCCUCUGGGUGAGCACUGUUCCGACGUCGGGCCUAUCCUUCUGGUGAGUCGGCAUGUCCUUUAUUGGGUGUGUCGGGGAACCAGGACCAUUACCUUGAAAAAUUAGAGUGUUCAAAGCAGGCGUAUGCUCGGAUACAUUAGCAUGGAAUAAUGAAAUAGGACGCGUGGUGCUAUUUUGUUGGUUUCUAGAACCGCCGUAAUGAUUAAUAGGGAUAGUUGGGGGCAUUAGUAUUCAAUUGUCAGAGGUGAAAUUCUUGGAUUUAUUGAAGACUAACUUCUGCGAAAGCAUUUGCCAAGGAUGUUUUCAUUAAUCAAGAACGAAAGUUAGGGGAUCGAAGACGAUCAGAUACCGUCGU
rnacentral:rRNA from 1 species